rnacentral:rRNA from 1 species
AUUGAACGCUGGCGGCAUGCCUUACACAUGCAAGUCGAGCGGCAGCGCGGGGGCAACCCUGGCGGCGAGCGGCGAACGGGUGAGUAAUACAUCGGAACGUGCCCAGUAGUGGGGGAUAACCUCUCGAAAGAGAGGCUAAUACCGCAUACGACCUACGGGUGAAAGCGGGGGACCGCAAGGCCUCGCGCUAUUGGAGCGGCCGAUGUCGGAUUAGCUAGUUGGCGGGGUAAAGGCCCACCAAGGCGACGAUCCGUAGCUGGUCUGAGAGGACGACCAGCCACACUGGAACUGAGACACGGUCCCAGACUCCUACGGGAGGCAGCAGUGGGGAAUUUUGGACAAUGGGCGCAAGCCUGAUCCAGCCAUGCCGCGUGAGUGAAGAAGGCCUCGGGUUGUAAAGCUCUUUCGGCGGGACGAAACGGUCCGUGCCAACACCACGGACUAAUGACGGUACCCGCAGAAGAAGCACCGGCUAACUACGUGCCAGCAGCCGCGGUAAUACGUAGGGUGCAGGCGUUAAUCGGAAUUACUGGGCGUAAAGCGUGCGUAGGCGGUUUGUUAAGACAGGUGUGAAAUCCCCGGGCUUAACCUGGGAACUGCGCUUGUUACUGCAGACUUGAGUGUGGCAGAGGGGGGUGGAAUUCCACGUGUAGCAGUGAAAUGCGUAGAGAUGUGGAGGAACACCGAUGGCCGAAGGCAGCCCCUGGGCUAACACUGACGCUGAUGCACGAAAGCGUGGGGAGCAAACAGGAUUAGAUACCCUGGUAGU